rnacentral:rRNA from 1 species
GUACUGUCCGCCCGUCGGAUUCAGUCCGCCCGGGCGUCGUCGGCGUCGGCCGCGCAUCCCCUCGCGGGAGCGCGUCGGCGCUCGUUCGGCGUUCGGCGGCCGUACUUUCGGCGGGCGGAGCGCCACGACCGGUUCGCGCGCGGCCAGAAACUCUUCGGCAAGGUGACCGGCGCCUCGGCGUCGGUGUUAUAGGCCGUUGAGCGUGGCCCGCGGGCGGACCGAGGAAGAUGCCGCGGCGGCGCGUCGACCGUCGGUCGUGCUAGCGCGUUCGACUCGGGGGGACUGGCGUCCAGUGCCCUCGGACCGCGCGCCUGCAUCGGCCGGCUGGCCCGGCGCGUCGCUUGGGGUCGGUGGCGGAACGGCCGGCAACCUGUCCGACCCGUCUUGAAACACGGACCAAGGAGUCUAACAUGUGCGCGAGUCGUUGGGCGUUACGAAACCCGAAGGCGCAAUGAAAGUGAAGGUUCGGCCUCGCGUCGACCUAGGUGGGAUCCCGGCCGGUCUCGGUCGGUCGGGCGCACCACCGGCCCGUCUCGUUCGCCACGUCGAGGAGGCGGAGCAAGAGCGUACACGUUGGGACCCGAAAGAUGGUGAACUAUGCCUGAGUAGGACGAAGCCAGAGGAAACUCUGGUGGAGGUCCGCAGCGAUUCUGACGUGCAAAUCGAUCGUCAAACUUGGGUAUAGGGGCGAAAGACUAAUCGAACCAUCUAGUAGCUGGUUCCUGUCGAAGUUUCCCUCAGGAUAGCUGACGCUCAACGUGAGCAGUUUUAUCCGGUAAAGCGAAUGAUUGGAGGCCUUGGGGACGAAACGUCCUCAACCUACUCUCAAACUUUAAAUGGGUAAGACGUCCGACUCGCUCGAU